rnacentral:rRNA from 1 species
CCGCAAGGUGCAUGGCAGACGGGUGAGUAACGCGUAGGGAAUCUACCUUUUUGUGGGGAAUAACGCUCCGAAAGGAGUGGUAAUACCGCAUGAGACCACGAGCUGGGAUGUUCGUGGUGAAACCUGGGGACCGCAAGGCCUGGGGCAAGAAGAGGAUCCUGCGUCUGAUUAGCUAGUUGGCGGGGUAAUGGCCCACCAAGGCGACGAUCAGUAGCCGGCCUGAGAGGGUGAUCGGCCACACUGGAACUGAGACACGGUCCAGACUCCUACGGGAGGCAGCAGUGGGGAAUUUUGCGCAAUGGACGAAAGUCUGACGCAGCAACGCCGCGUGGGUGAUGAAGGUCUUCGGA